rnacentral:rRNA from 1 species
GGCUCAGGAUGAACGCUAGCGGCAGGCUAACACAUGCAAGUCGAGGGGCAUCGGGAGUAGCAAUACUGCCGGCGACCGGCGCAAGGGUGCGUAACGCGUGAGCAACAUGCCCGUAUCAGGGGGGAUAAUCCAUGGAAACGUGGUCUAAUACCCCAUAGUAAUUAUGUAAGGCAUCUUAUAUAAUUUAAAGCUUUGGUGGAUACGGAUUGGCUCGCGUGACAUUAGCUGGAUGGUAAGGUAACGGCUUACCAUGGCUACGAUGUCUAGGGGUUCUGAGAGGAAGGUCCCCCCACACUGGAACUGAGACACGGUCCAGACUCCUACGGGAGGCAGCAGUGAGGAAUAUUGGACAAUGGAUGGAAAUCUGAUCCAGCCAUGCCGCGUGCAGGGAAAGACGGCCCUAUGGGUUGUAAACUGUCUUUUGUAUGGGAGCAAUAAGGGCUACGUGUAGUCCGAUGAGAGUACCAUACGAAUAAGCACCGGCUAACUCCGUGCCAGCAGCUGC